rnacentral:ncRNA from 2 species
CGGCGCCACUGGGGGAGCCAGGCGAGCCUGGCUGAGAGUGCGGCCCCAUCGAUGCCGCAGACCCUUUGAACCUGACCUGGGUCAUACCAGCGUAGGGAAGUGUCCAGACCAGAGU